rnacentral:rRNA from 1 species
UACGUAGGGUGCGAGCGUUGUCCGGAAUUAUUGGGCGUAAAGGGCUCGUAGGCGGUUUGUCGCGUCGGGAGUGAAUCCACUGGCUUAACUGGUGGCUUGCUUUCGAUACGGGCAGACUGGAGGUAUGCAGGGGAGAACGGAAUUCCUGGUGUAGCGGUGGAAUGCGCAGAUAUCAGGAGGAACACCGGUGGCGAAGGCGGUUCUCUGGGCAUUACCUGACGCUGAGGAGCGAAAGUGUGGGAGGCGAACAGG